AGCUCCAGUAGCGUAUAUUAAAAUUGUUGCAGUUAAAAAGCUCGUAGUUGGAUUUCUGGCUCGUUGCCCUAGCCCGCUUACUUCGGUGGGUGAGUGCUGGUGCAAUCUGCCAUCCUUCCAGAGAGCCGUGAGUACCAUUUACUUGGCCGCUCGCGUGCGAUCAGGAUCAUUUACUUUGAAAAAAUUAGGGUGUUUAAAGCAGGCUUACGCCUUGAAUACAUUAGCAUGGAAUAAUAACAUAGGACUUCGGUUCUAUUUUGUUGGUUUCUAGAACCUUAGUAAUGAUUGAUAGGGAUGGUUGGGGGUGCUAGUAUUCAGCGGCCAGAGGUGAAAUUCUUGGAUUCGCUGAAGACUAACUACUGCGAAAGCAUUCACCAAGGAUGUCUUCU
rnacentral:rRNA from 1 species